rnacentral:rRNA from 1 species
AGUGAACGCUGGCGGCAGGCCUAACACAUGCAAGUCGAACGGCAGCACAGAGGAGCUUGCUCCUUGGGUGGCGAGUGACGGACGGGUGAGGAAUACAUCGGAAUCUGCCUAUUUGUGGGGGAUAACGUAGGGAAACUUACGCUAAUACCGCAUACGACCUACGGGUGAAAGCGGAGGACCUUCGGGCUUCGCGCAGAGAGAUGAGCCGAUGUCGGAUUAGCUAGUUGGCGGGGUAAAGGCCCACCAAGGCGACGAUCCGUAGCUGGUCUGAGAGGAUGAUCAGCCACACUGGAACUGAGACACGGUCCAGACUCCUACGGGAGGCAGCAGUGGGGAAUAUUGGACAAUGGGCGCAAGCCUGAUCCAGCCAUGCCGCGUGGGUGAAGAAGGCCUUCGGGUUGUAAAGCCCUUUUGUUGGGAAAGAAAAGCAGCCGGUUAAUACCCGGUUGUUCUGACGGUACCCAAAGAAUAAGCACCGGCUAACUUCGUGCCAGCAGCCGCCGUAA